GAGACAGCAGUCGCCGCGGGAAUACGAAGGGUGCAAGCGUUAAUCGGAAUUACUGGGCGUAAAGCGUGCGUAGGCGGUGAGUUAAGUCUGCUGUGAAAUCCCCGGGCUCAACCUGGGAAUGGCAGUGGAUACUGGCUCGCUAGAGUGUGUCAGAGGAUGGUGGAAUUCCCGGUGUAGCGGUGAAAUGCGUAGAGAUCGGGAGGAACAUCAGUGGCGAAGGCGGCCAUCUGGGACAACACUGACGCUGAGGCACGAAAGCGUGGGGAGCAAACAGGAUUAGAUACCCGAGUAGUCCCUGUCUCUUAUAC
rnacentral:rRNA from 1 species